rnacentral:rRNA from 1 species
UACAGAGGGUGCGAGCGUUGUCCGGAAUUACUGGGCGUAAAGCGCGUGUAGGCGGUUGUUCAAGUCAGGUGUGAAAGCCUUGAGCUCAACUCAAGAAAUGCACUUGAUACUGGAUGACUAGAGGACCGGAGAGGAUAGUGGAAUUCCCAGUGUAGUGGUGAAAUACGUAGAGAUUGGGAAGAACACCAGUGGCGAAGGCGGCUAUCUGGACGGUUUCUGACGCUAAGACGCGAAAGCGUGGGGAGCAAACAGG